UACUGCUCACCAGGGUGAAAUCAUGGACCUGAACACAAAGGAACAACCCACCUCCCCAAAAAACCAGGGAGUAAAAGCUCGGUCCAAAUCCACUGAGGAGAUCCAGCCUGCCAAGAAGGCCUUCCACACUCCCCAGAAGUCCUUACCAAACCAGAUGGAUGCAGAUGAGUCCAAGGGUUCCUGUCCUGUACCAGCACCAAAUACUGCUCAACAGCAGCAGACCUGAGGAGAAGGUCAUGGUUGCAAGGAGUGGAGUUGUGACCAUUCCUUGUGCUACUC